CGCCACCCCUCGCUGCUCCACCGCCCGCGCGCCUCCCCCUCGCCGCCGGCCGGGCGCUGCCCUCCACCGCCCGCCGCUCCGGCCCAAAAUCCCGCCGCCGGCACCUCUCUCCGGAAUCCCGCCGUCGUCUUCUCUCCGGAAUCUCGCCGCCGGUGGCUCUUUUCUCAACGUGCUGCUCCGCCGCCCCCUUCUCCUUCCCCUCAGACCGAGCGCCGCCCCUCCUCCGUCCCCUCAGACCGAGCGCUGCCCUCCUCUUUCCCCUCCGUCGCGCGCCGCCCUCCUCUUCCCUUUCUGCGAUGCAAGGGAAACCAAACAGGAGGCUGCAGCGAUUGCUCGCAUCCGCCGCGCCUGGAUCCCGCGUGCUGCAGCCCUGCUGCGAUGCAGCCUGCGACGUGCAGUAAAUCCAAACACGCCCUUUGUGACCCCGCGCAUGGAGCAGUUGCAGGCAGCCACGAGCGCCGGUGUUGGAAAUUUUGGGUGG
rnacentral:lncRNA from 1 species